rnacentral:rRNA from 1 species
CUACGGAGGGUGCAAGCGUUACUCGGAAUCACUGGGCGUAAAGCGCGCGCAGGCGGCUAUUUAAGUUGGAUGUGAAAGCCUACGGCUCAACCGUAGAACUGCAUCCAAAACUAUUUAGCUAGAGUGUGGGAGAGGAAGAUGGAAUUAGUUGUGUAGGGGUAAAAUCCGUAGAGAUAACUAGGAAUACCAAAAGUGAAGGCAAUCUUCUGGAACACUACUGACGCUGAGGCGCGAAAGCGUGGGGAGCAAACGGGAUUAGAAACCCCAGUAGUCC